AACGCGAAGAACCUUACCCAGGCUUGACAUGUAGUUGAAUAACUGUGAAAGCUGUUAGGCCCGCAAGGGACAAUUACACAGGUGCUGCAUGGCUGUCGUCAGCUCGUGCUGUGAAGUGUUGGGUUAAGUCCCGCAACGAGCGCAACCUUUAUUCUUAGUUGCCAUCACGUCAUGGUGGGCACUCUAAGGAGACUGCCGGUGAUAAACUGGAGGAAGGAGGAGAUGACGUCAAGUCAGUAUGGCCCUUAUGCCUGGGGCUACACACGUGCUACAAUGGCCACGACAAAGGGCAGCUACCCCGCGAGCGGGGAGCUAAUCCCAAACAAAUGGCCCCAGCUCGCAUCGGAGGCUGCAACUCCCCUCCAUGAAGUCCGAACCGCUCGUACAGCUGGAUCAGCCACGCUACCGCGAAUACGUCCCCGGGUCUUUCCACACGG
rnacentral:rRNA from 1 species